rnacentral:rRNA from 1 species
UACAGAGGGUGCGAGCGUUAAUCGGAAUUACUGGGCGUAAAGCGUGCGUAGACGGUUAUUUAAGUCGGGUGUGAAAGCCCCGGGCUCAACCUGGGAAUUGCAUUCGAGACUGAAUAGCUAGGGUACGGUAGAGGGAAGCGGAAUUUCCGGUGUAGCGGUGAAAUGCGUAGAUAUCGGAAGGAACAUCAGUGGCGAAAGCGGCUUCCAUGG